UUUUUAUAGUGUCUAUUGUAAAAUACGAAUAAUAGACCGAAAAAAUUAAUACGUAAAAUACAACACACAAUUGUAAUUGCAACCUUGGAUUUUAACCGGGAAAAAAAUAUAUUAUUAUACGUACACACGAUACAAUGUGAUAAAAUUCCAUUAUACAAAAUUACGGGAAUAUCGUAAUGUCUCCAGCUAUACGGCGUAUAUUUUCACGUUGGUGUUUUGUAUAUCAUAUUUGUAACAAUAUAAACUGCAUUAAUGAAUAUGCGCACGUUAUAAACACGUAGGUGUAUUGCGAAUAAAUAUAGUGAAAAAUUAAUUUAAAUCCAUAUACGAUAAAAAAAAAAAAAAAAAAAAGAUCCCCAAAAUAUCAUCCGGUGUUUUUUUUUUACAGAGUUAUGAGAAUGUAUGAUGAUGAUGAUGACAAUGAAAAUAUUUGUCACCGGUUU